rnacentral:lncRNA from 1 species
GUACCAAAGGCGCUACGAUGGUCGGAUGAAGGUACAAGACCCACCAUUUCGAAGCUAAGAACCAGGGCUACAACAAUGUAGAAGGUCACUCACUCCAAAUCCCAGCACAACUAAGUCAUAUAUGCCAAAUACCAAACCAGAACCGUAAUUGCAGGUUUACAAAUUACACUAUGCUGUAAUCAGUACAACUCAGUCUAAACAGGUCCAAAUGCAGAAAUUCCAAAGGCAUAUGGUAGCUAGGACAUCAAG